rnacentral:rRNA from 1 species
AGCGAACGCUGGCGGCGUGCUUAACACAUGCAAGUCGUGCGAGAAAGCUCCUUCGGGAGUGAGUAGAGCGGCGGACGGGUGAGUAAUGCGUGAAUAACCUGCCCAAAGGACUGGGAUAACUUCGGGAAACUGGAGCUAAUACCGGAUAAGACCACGAUUUCUACGGAUAUCGGGGUAAAAGGUGGCUGCUUGCGGCUAUCACCUAUGGAUGGGUUCACGUUCCAUCAGGUUGUUGGUGAGGUAAAGGCUCACCAAGCCUAAGACGGAUAGUUGGCCUUAGCGGGUGGCCAACCACACGGGGACUGAGACACGGCCCCGACUCCUACGGGAGGCAGCAGUGAGGAAUAUUGGGCAAUGGGCGCAAGCCUGACCCAGCGACGUCGCGUGGGGGACGAAGGCCCUCGGGUCGUAAACCCUUGUCAUAGGGGAAGAUGGGUAUAUGUGCUAAUACCACAUAUACUUGACGGUACCCUAAGAGGAAGCCCCGGCUAACUCCGUG